UACGUAGGGUGCGAGCGUUAAUCGGAAUUACUGGGCGUAAAGCGUGCGCAGGCGGUUUUGUAAGCCAGAUGUGAAAUCCCCGGGCUUAACCUGGGAAUGGCAUUUGGGACUGCAAGGCUGGAGUGCGGCAGAGGAGACUGGAAUUUACGGUGUAGCGGUGAAAUGCGUAGAUAUCGUAAGGAAGACCAGUGGCGAAGGCGGGUCUCUGGACAGUUCCUGACGCUGAGGCACGAAGGCCAGGGGAGCAAACGGG
rnacentral:rRNA from 1 species